GACGAACGCUGGCGGCGUGCCUAACACAUGCAAGUCGAACGGAGUGGCGAACGGGUGAGUAACGCGUAAUCAACCUGCCCUUCAGAGGGGGACAACAGUUGGAAACGACUGCUAAUACCGCAUACGGAAGAGGGGGAUUGCGUCUGAACAGCUAGCUGGAGGGGUAACCGCCCACCAAGGCGAUGAUCAGUAGCCGGUGUGGGAGGAUGAACGGCCAAAUGGGGACUGAUACCCGGCCCAGACUCCUACGGGAGGCAGCAAUGGGGAAUCUUCCGAAAUGGACGAAAGUCUGACGGAGCCACGCCGGGGGAGUGGUGACGGGCUUCGGGUUGUAAAGGUCUGUUAAUCGGGACGCGGUACCGGAAUAGAAAGCCACGGCUAACUACGUGCCAGCAGCCGCGGUAAUAC
rnacentral:rRNA from 1 species